UACGGAGGUUGCAAGCGUUGUUCGGAAUUACUGGGCGUAAAGGGAGCGCAGGCGGUUCGAUAAGUCUGAAGUGAAAGCCCGGGGCUCAACCCCGGCGGGUCUUUGGAUACUGUCGAACUCGAGUACGGAAGAGGAGAGUGGAAUUCCAGGUGUAGCGGUGAAAUGCGUAGAUAUCUGGAGGAACACCGGUGGCGAAAGCGGCUCUCUGGUCCGAUACUGACGCUCAUGCUCGAAAGCGUGGGGAGCAAACGGG
rnacentral:rRNA from 1 species